CUUGCAAAGCUACAGCUCCAUGAUUCCAUAGCAUUGAGUCGUUAAAGUGAUAUCAAACUAUUAAUCCUACAUUACAGAUGCAUCCACAGACUAGGGAUCAUUUUGUGAAGGCGAUGAUGGCAUGAUUCACAACAACCUAAGGUAAAGUGUAUAUUGGGGUGUAUAUUGGACUGCAACUCCCAUCAUCCAAAAUACAGUGAUGAUGGAUGAUGGGAUGCACAGUUCAGGAAACAUCUGGAGGGCCCCAAGUUCUCUCCAUCCUUGACUCUGUAAUAAAGUAAAGAUGUGGAUAGGUUUCAUGUUCUAGGCUAUGGAAUCAUGGGAUUCAUAGUUUGGUGAGGCACCAGUCUAGAGAAGGCUAAAGGACCUUGUAAAACUACAACUCCCAGGAACACAAAGCAUUGAGCCAUGGCAGUUAAAGCUGUGUUGGGCUGCAUUAUAUGUACAGUGUAGAGGCCUGGGCAAACUCUGGCCCUCCAGGUGUUUUGGACUUUAACUCCCACGAUUCCUAACAGCCUACCGGCUGUUGGAAAUUGUGGGAGUUAAAGUCCAAAACAUCCGAAGGGCCAGAGAUGCCACCUUCCCUUUCCUGCUCCAGCAGACAAAAGGCACUGCAGACUGAUUCAGGCAGAGAAGUUGGCCAUAGCAGAGCACCUGAUGAACUAACCUGGACACAGUAUAUUAUUUGAGAACACGGAAAUGCUGGACCACUCUCACAACCACCGUUUCAGACUACACAGAGGAGCCACUGAAAUCCACAAGCAUGUGGACCAUUUCAACAGAAAGGAGGAAACCAUGAAAAUGAACACCAUCUGGCUACCAAUAUUUUAAAAAAACCUCAAAAAACAGAACAGUAAAUAAGGAACAACACUCUGAAAACAGAGGAAUUCCAGACAUGAGUCAAUCAGGGGCAGCGUACGCCUCCAAACAAAGCAUUCCCCCAGGCAGGAAGAAGCCAGGACAUGAAGUUUGCAAGGCCAUUAAUGCUAAUCAAGGUGAUUAACAACAUUCACACCUGCCUCCAACAGACAAGAAUUCUUUCUCCCACUCUGGAACUUCCACAGAUGUUUAAUAUAAACCUUCCUUGCUUAGUUUUUUUUUCCAGUAUACCUCACAACCUCUGAGGAUGCCUGCCAUAGAUGUGGGUGAAAUGUCAGGAGAGAAUAUCUCUGGAUUCUGGCCCUGCAGGCUGAGAAACACACAGAAAUUCUCAUUCAGAGAAGAGUCAGUAAGAAUAUUACACAGAGUCAGGUUGUCCAAAAGGUGGCUGGGAUGUUUUCUUCUACUUGCUCAAAAAGGCUAUGGCUGGCUGCUUUUAACUACAAUGUUCUGACAGUCGCAGAUGCAACAGUGUUUCAGAAGCCCAUCUCACAGGUGUGGGAAGGUGGCCUGUGAUUGUAUCUGAGGGUGUGUUCUCUGGAGUCUUGCUGAAAGGGAGGGGAAUUCAGCUGUGUCUCCUGGCAAAGGGCCAGAGAAGGGCUGUGUGCAAGUCUUCUGCUCCUUCAGAGGGAGGCAGGCUCUGCAGGGUGGGCAGGGGAGUAUCCAAGGAAGGAGAAGCUGAAGCUCAGUAGUAGGCACUUGAAAUGCAGAGUCAUGACUCGUGGGGAGUAGUUAUGCAAACAUACCAGCAGAGAGAGAACCUCUUUUCCUGGUUGGAAAGGAAGUGGAUUUGGCAAAUUGGAAGUCUUGACUUAAUUCAGUGUCCUGGCAAAGUGCAACAAGGUGCAUGGAUAACCGGAUGGUUCAUUGUAUGAGCAAGGCUGCAGCUGCACUGUUGAAGUAAUACAGUUUGGCCCCACUUGUAACUGCAUGGCUCAAUGUACAGCUAAGUUCAUGCACAUGGUCCCUCCUGUGACCACUUCUCCUGAGGGUGUGCAGACUUUUCUGGCCUCCGUGACAGUACCUUCAUCCUGAACCAGCUGAAGAGCCCAGAGGAGUUGUAGCCUCUUCUACUUUCUUCUUUUGAAGCCUACCAUCUUUGAUCUCCUCAUCCAGAGUUUGCCUAUGAAGGUCCAGUGCAUCUCGGAGAAUUUUUUUUUAAAAAAAUCCUUCUGCCCAAUGCCCCCACCUGCCCUCCUUCUUGAUCUGCUUCAAAGGAAGGUGUGAAGAUGGCAAGGGAGCAUUUCCUGGGACUGACAUGUCUGUGCGGAGUUGCUGUCAGGUACUGGGACUUUUCGGCCCACUUUUAAAACCGGUAUUUUGACACGGUCCGGAAGUACCCAUAAUCUAAUUCAGUUUGGUGAGCAGAUCUCCUAAGGUGGUAUUGGGAAAUUACAUUGAGUUUGGCUCUGUGUCACAUGGUCUGGAAGUUAGUGUCACCAACAUACAAUGAUGCAAGGUGUGCUUCUUCUGUUCAGAUCUCACCACAUGAGCUGUGGAAAGUGGUGUGUGCGCGCAUCAUCUUAGUGCAGCAUAUUGUCCUGUUUAGUUUUAAAAGAUCUCAUACCAUUUUAAAUCCCGUCAGAUGCUGUAUGUUUUGCAGCCUUUCUCCCGUUCUGUCCUGUGUUCUGAACCAUCACAUGAGUGAGUCACUGCACAUUUUUUUUGCUUGGGGGAAACUAUGAAAUUGCAGCAUUUAAUGACUUCUUAACAGCUUCUCUGGAACAAGUCUAGUGACAAAAGAGAGAAAAGAGUCUCCUUUUUCUUUGGGUGCAUCUAUAUUGUAGAACUAAUGAAAUUUAACUGCCUUCGUUCAAUGCUGUAGAACUAUGGGAUUUGUCGUUUACCGAGGCACCAGGCUCCUUUGGCAGAGAAGAAAUAAAAACCUUAUUAAACUACAACUUCUACAUUAAAAUAAUAUACAUAAGCACUUCAUAGGCACUACAAAAGUGAGUACAGUUGGUACCCAAAAAACUAAAAAUUAAUAAAAGCUAGCACACCACUAUUUUGAAACCAAAGAAUACUAAUGGGGGAGAAAAUGGAGCUAUAUCAAACUAGUGAUGUCUUUUUUGUGUGUGAUUUUUUUAUUAUGAGAAAGGAAGGAAGGAGAGAGAGACAGACAGAUCUGGGAAAAACAUUGGAGCAUCGGUUCUUGGGAACAGACUGUCCAUAGGAACACCCAUCGCUCCACGUCACUGAAACAAAAUGACAUGAGUGAAUUUGACAGAUUGCAUCCCAUGUGUUUUGAAGCAUGUCCUCCCAUGUCCAUGUGCAUCAAGAGCUCAGAAGACGAUUUCUUCCCGGUUCCUCUUUCCUCAGUUUAUCUACAUUUCUAAGGCAGAACAAAGCCCCAGGGAGAGUGAAGCCUUUCUUACCAGUGCCAGCGGGCCCCUUGCUUUGUGUCUGCCAUGUUGCCCUGGCUGCCUCUGCUCCUGCAGGCAGGGAAGAAGGAAAGCCGCUCUGCCCGAAUAUCAUCACCAAAACACACUUAGAAGUUGCAGUGGAUUUUCUUUGCACUUAGACUUUGAAACAUACAGUUGGUCCCUUUCCUUCAGAAGACCACUUGUUCAUUCUGUUAGUUCAUUUCCUGGUACUUUUGGCAUGAGGCACGAAUGCAUUUGUGAGCACUCUACUGGGCCUGCUUGAUGUCUUACCACUGGAAAUGGAACAACUCAGCGGGAGUAGAGCAUCAGCUUUAGAGGAUUCUUUCCCUCUACCUCCUGCUGCAAAAGAUGCCCCCAUGCUGUUAAUCUGGUUGACUUUCAGGAAGACAUAAAUUUGUUAAGAUCUGGAGUUUUUCGUGCUCACUGCCUACAUUCCAUAAGGCAUAUUGUGUCUAAUUUGACUGCCUCUUUUAUUUGUUGUUCUGGUGAUGUACUGUUGCUUCCCAUCAGAAUGUCUAGAUAAAUUUAAGGGUAAAUAUGUCAAAUAUUUCACAUGGUGAUAGAAUAAAAUGCACAGCACAUUUCCUUUUAAAUUUUGUUUUAAUUUGGAUGAUAACACUUUCCUUUGUUUUGAAAAGAGAGGUUCCCUGUUAAUUAAUAGCAUUAAGGUACUUAAAGAUUUUGUCAUUUAGGGAACCAAAAUAGUAAGCCAUACCCUAAUCAAAUAAAACUGAUGAAUAGUUAAAAUUCCUCCACAAUGGAUUUAAUUAAAUAAAUUUCAGCAUAUAUAAUUCAGAGGAAGCAAUUGCUUUAUUAUCCAAAAUGUAUAAAUGUAUACACAAUAAGAAGGCCCCUUCUACACUGCCAUAUAAAAUCCAGAUUAUCUGCUUUGAUCCGUAUUUUCUUCCACAGUGAGGACAUCAGUUUCCAGGUGGAAGGUGGUCCCGGUCAGGGUUGGCUUGAUGCACCUUCCUCUUGGUACAUUGCCCCCUGUUCACCUCCAUUCAUUCCUUUCAAAUUCCACAGCACUGCUGGUCACAGCUGACCUCGUUAGAGUGCUCGAGGGCUAGGGCUUCCAUCAAUAUUCCAUUUUCCGUUCUUGAGUUGGGAGUAUAGUAACUGCUUUGGUACUGUAGAUUCAUAUAAUCCAUUUCAAAUAAAAUAAUCUGGAUUAUCUGUUUUUACAAUCUGGAUUAUAUGGCAGUGUAGAAGGGCCCUAAGAAAUGUUUAACUAUCUAAAGCUGCAUGGCAAUGAGUUGGUCUAGUUUCCCCUCCAGUCCCUUCUAACUCUAUGGCUUAAUGAAUCUAAAAUUCCAUGAAAGUAGUGAUGAUGAACAUCAGUGAACAAAGAGAAGUAAGUGGGCCACAUAUGGCUCUGUAGGCCAUCCACAUCUUCAUUUCAAAAGAGGAUUUUAAAACUAAAAAUGCCUUUCACAGCUGUUAAAAACAUAGAGUAAAACAUUGCCAUGUUUUGUGGACUCUUUUUUAGCUCCCAAAGGAGCCAUGUACAAUGAGGAAAUAAAAUCAGAAAUCAACAUUUAGAUAAAGCUAUAAUUUAAUUUGUCUUUUACUGUCUUUUACCGAAGAGAGGUAAUGACAUGGCAAGAUUUGGUUCAUAUGCCCUAUGGCAUAGGUAGAUAACAUGUAGUCCACAGGCCUUCAGAAAAGUACCCAAAGCUCUAAAAAAUGCAAAGGUUUUCUGCCUCUCAAUGCUCUCCAAACAAAAAUAACCAAAUCAACCAAAAGCAAAACUGAAUGUACUGCAAUAUGACUUAAUAAUUAUAUCAUGCAUGCCGGUGAAGCUGGCUGAUAGAGAACACAUGUAAAAUUGGGCUCUGUCCCCAUUGCUGGAAUAGAGAGAGUUUGUAUGAGCAUUUGCAGUAAAAGAAAAGAAAAAAGAAUAAUGGUUUAUAUGGUUGUUGUUGUUGUUGUUGUUGGAGCGGCUUCAGCUGUCUGAGAUUAUACAAAGAUCACUGCAGCUCUCCCAUCUAUGGCAAUUGCUCAUCUCUGCUUUACAGCAUUCUUGUGAUACCAUAUGACUUCUUCUAACUCAGUGGUUCUCAGCCUUCCUAAUGCCACGGCCCUUUAAUGCAGUUCCUCAUGUUGUGGUGAUCUCCAACCAUAAAAUUAUUUUUGUUGUUUCUUUAUAACUGUAAUUUUGCUACUGUUAUGAAUCGUAAUGUAAAUAUCU